rnacentral:rRNA from 1 species
AUUGAUUGGUGCUUGCAUCAUGAUUUACAUUUGAGUGAGUGGCGAACUGGUGAGUAACACGUGGGAAACCUGCCCAGAAGCGGGGGAUAACACCUGGAAACAGAUGCUAAUACCGCAUAACAACUUGGACCGCAUGGUCCGAGUUUGAAAGAUGGCUUCGGCUAUCACUUUUGGAUGGUCCCGCGGCGUAUUAGCUAGAUGGUGGGGUAACGGCUCACCAUGGCAAUGAUACGUAGCCGACCUGAGAGGGUAAUCGGCCACAUUGGGACUGAGACACGGCCCAAACUCCUACGGGAGGCAGCAGUAGGGAAUCUUCCACAAUGGACGAAAGUCUGAUGGAGCAACGCCGCGUGAGUGAAGAAGGGUUUCGGCUCGUAAAACUCUGUUGUUAAAGAAGAACAUAUCUGAGAGUAACUGUUCAGGUAUUGACGGUAUUUAACCAGAAAGCCACGGCUAACUACGUGCCAGCAGCCGCGGUAAUACGUAGGUGGCAAGCGUUGUCCGGAUUUAUUGGGCGUAAAGCGAGCGCAGGCGGUUUUUUAAGUCUGAUGUGAAAGCCUUCGGCUCAACCGAAGAAGUGCAUCGGAAACUGGGAAACUUGAGUGCAGAAGAGGACAGUGGAACUCCAUGUGUAGCGGUGAAAUGCGUAGAUAUAUGGAAGAACACCAGUGGCGAAGGCGGCUGUCUGGUCUGUAACUGACGCUGAGGCUCGAAAGUAUGGGUAGCAAACAGGAUUAGAUACCCUGGUAGUCCAUACCGUAAACGAUGAAUGCUAAGUGUUGGAGGGUUUCCGCCCUUCAGUGCUGCAGCUAACGCAUUAAGCAUUCCGCCUGGGGAGUACGGCCGCAAGGCUGAAACUCAAAGGAAUUGACGGGGGCCCGCACAAGCGGUGGAGCAUGUGGUUUAAUUCGAAGCUACGCGAAGAACCUUACCAGGUCUUGACAUACUAUGCAAAUCUAAGAGAUUAGACGUUCCCUUCGGGGACAUGGAUACAGGUGGUGCAUGGUUGUCGUCAGCUCGUGUCGUGAGAUGUUGGGUUAAGUCCCGCAACGAGCGCAACCCUUAUUAUCAGUUGCCAGCAUUAAGUUGGGCACUCUGGUGAGACUGCCGGUGACAAACCGGAGGAAGGUGGGGAUGACGUCAAAUCAUCAUGCCCCUUAUGACCUGGGCUACACACGUGCUACAAUGGAUGGUACAACGAGUUGCGAACUCGCGAGAGUAAGCUAAUCUCUUAAAGCCAUUCUCAGUUCGGAUUGUAGGCUGCAACUCGCCUACAUGAAGUCGGAAUCGCUAGUAAUCGCGGAUCAGCAUGCCGCGGUGAAUACGUUCCCGGGCCUUGUACACACCGCCCGUCACACCAUGAGAGUUUGUAACACCCAAAGUCGGUGGGGUAACCU